rnacentral:rRNA from 1 species
GUCUACAGCCAUGCCACCCUGAACACACCCUAUCUCGUCUGAUCUCGGAAGCUAAGCAGGGUCAGGGCUGGUUAGUACUUGGAUGGGAGACCACCUAGGAAGACCAGGUGCUGUAGGUG